rnacentral:rRNA from 1 species
UUCGAGUGGCGGACGGGUGAGUAACGCGUGGGUAACCUGCCUUACACAGGGGGAUAACACCUGGAAACAGGUGCUAAUACCGCAUAAGCGCACAGGGCCGCAUGGCCCGGUGUGAAAAACUCCGGUGGUGUAAGAUGGACCCGCGUCUGAUUAGCUUGUUGGCGGGGUAGGGGCCCACCAAGGCGACGAUCAGUAGCCGACCUGAGAGGGUGGCCGGCCACAUUGGGACUGAGACACGGCCCAAACUCCUACGGGAGGCAGCAG